GACCCCAUCGUCUAACGGUCAGGACUCCGGAUUUUCAUUCCGGCAACACGGGUUCGAUUCCCGUUGGGGUCGCCA
rnacentral:tRNA from 1 species